rnacentral:rRNA from 1 species
GCGUGUAUUCUACCUCGGGGACGUGGAUAGCCAUUCUAACGAGUGGCAAUACGCGGCGAUUUGGUUGAGGGCAUCCGUGGCCAGGAAAUGAAUUUCGCCUCGAGAGGAGCUCACGUGAUAUUAGCUUGUUGGUGAGGUAACGGCUCACCAAGGCAAAGAUGUCUAGCGGGUGUGAGAGUACGACCCGCGCCACUGGCACUGAGACACUGGCCAGACACCUACGGGUGGCUGCAGUCGAGGAUCUUUGGCAAUGGGCGCAAGCCUGACCAAGCGACGCCGCGUGUGCGAUGAAGGCCUUCGGGUUGUAAAGCACUGUCGAGGGGGACGAAGCCGAAAGGUUGACCGAUCCCUGGAGGAAGCUCGGGCUAAGUUCGUGCCAGCAGCCGCGGUAAGACGAACCGAGCGAACGUUGUUCGGAAUCACUGGGCUUAAAGGGCGCGUAGGCGGCUUGCCAAGUCCGGGGUGAAAUCCUGCAGCUUAACUGUAGAAGGGCCUUGGAUACUGGCGAGCUCGAGGGAGGUAGGGGUAUGUGGAACUUCCGGUGGAGCGGUGAAAUGCGUUGAUAUCGGAAGGAACGCCGGUGGCGAAAGCGACGUACUGGACCUCUUCUGACGCUGAGGCGCGAAAGCUAGGGGAGCAAACGGGAUUAGAUACCCCGGUAGUCCUAGCCCUAAACGAUGGGUACUAGAUUGUAGACUUAACAUGGGUUUACAAUCGAAGCAAAAGUGUUAAGUACCCCGCCUGGGGAGUAUGGUCGCAAGGCUGAAACUCAAAGGAAUUGACGGGGGCUCACACAAGCGGUGGAGCAUGUGGCUUAAUUCGAGGCUACGCGAAGAACCUUAUCCUAGGCUUGACAUGUUCGAAAGAGGUAGCAAGUAGGGAGCGGAAACGUUUCCCCAACGGUAUCCAGUCCGGAAGCUACUACAGGUGCUGCAUGGCUGUCGUCAGCUCGUGUCGUGAGAUGUCGGGUUAAGUCCCAUAACGAGCGAAACC